AGUUUAUACUUCAGGUGUGUAAUUAAAAAAAAAUGUAUACGUAAGUAGCUGGAAAUUUUCAAUCUUCAUAAAGAAAAUGAGAAAUACUGUCUUGAAUCAAGACUUUCUUAAUUGUUUUAUAUUUAUAAGGAAUGCUUAUAAUAUAACCGACGUACGUGAAACAUCAAGAUUUCGAUACUAAAUAGAACAACAAAACAUUCAAUAUGGCGCGCAUUGAUAGUUGGAAGUCACUGAAUGUUCUCAACAAAUGUCUUUUAUUAUCAACUACAGUGGCAAUAUGUUCGCUUUCUCAUGGGAACUUCUACUCAAUUUUGGAUAACAGAUCAUAUACCUGAAAAUGCAGUGUCGUUUACGGAGAAUUUUUACGUUCCCUCAAAAAAUUUAAAGCAUGACUGAAAAUGAUCAGUACUUUGGACUUUGGCAGUGGUGUAUCGGAGGGAACGGUUGUAUUGUAUUGAUUUAGGUUGGAUGUCCAUGUUUAUAUCCAACACGGAUUGGCAUGCAUGGCCAUAACAACUUAAUACACUCAUAGGUACAUGCACACUUUGAAACAAAACAAUAAGGAAUGAUCUACCAGUUCUACAUAGAGUACGUUUAUUGAAAUUUUAGAUGUCAUUACAAAAGAGACAAAAGGAACAUAAGAUCCAACAACAAAGGCUUUAUUUAAAUUUGAUGCUUUGACCUUAUAUGAACUUCCGACUACCUGAGCUAUUUUGACAAUCAACAUACGCAGGAUAUGGAAUGUAAACAAUUGAAUAAUUCUAUGAGUAUUUAUAUAUGCACAGACAUCAUAUGCAUGAUUUAUGUGACAAUAUAGAGGGGAUACAGCAUUAUUUUGUGAAUUUGACAUUUCAACUGAUUUUAUCCAUCUAAGGAAAUUUGUUUGUUGACAUCCUAGAGAAAUGCACUUUAGGAGUUUAUUAAUCACAAGCAUAACACUUUUAUAGUUUAUAAAAGCUGUAGAUUUUGUGUAAGAUUUCAAGGACCGCUUGAGCUGAAACAGUUUUCUGCCUAACUGAAAACGGUCUAAGCGAAUAUUAAAGGACAUAUCAACAGAUACUUUUAAAGUGAUAUUGAUACAGUUUAUGAAUACAGUACCAAUUUCAAAGGACAUAAAAGUGUAUGUUUCAGAUAAGGCUCUGGUUUUAUUCUUUUAAAAAAAUGCUUUUACAUUCUAUUAAUUUAUAUUCCAGACAGUCUUCAUAUAGAG